rnacentral:rRNA from 1 species
GGGCUGCAGUAUUUUGACUGUACAAAGGUAGCAUAAUCAAUAGUCUCUUAAUUGGUGACUUGUAUGAAAGAUUGAAUGAGAUAUAUACUGUCUCUAAUUAAUUUAUAGAAUUUAAUUUUUUAGUAAAAAAGCUAAAAUAAGUUUAAAAGACGAGAAGACCCUAUAGAGUUUAAUAAUUUAUUUAAUUAUUAUUAAUAUAUAAUUUUUAAAAUUAAAAUUAAAUAGAUUAUUUUGUUGGGGUGAUAGAAAAAUUAAAUUAACUUUUUUUUGUUAUUUACAUUAAUUUAUGAUUAAGUGAUCCAUUUAUAAUGAUUAAAAGAAAAAAUUACCUUAGGGAUAACAGCGUAAUUUUUUUUUUUAGUUCAAAUAGGAAAAAAAGUUUGCGACCUCGAUGUUGGAUUAA